rnacentral:lncRNA from 1 species
UACAUAUUAUAAAUCCAUAUCCAUUAUCAACAAACUAAACAGUAACUAUCACUCUUUUCACCAGCAUGCUGGUAUCCAUGGGGGUUCAUAGGGAUACUCCUGCUACACGUGAACCCUUUCAUUUAUCAUUAUCAAUUAUAGGCCGUCUCCAUACCUCGUCUGGUAUGAGUACCAAUUUACCAAACCUCAAUACCCCAUUCGGUAUGAGGGUGAAGCGGGCCAUCCCCAUAUCUUGUCUGGUAUGAGCGCCAAAUUAUCAAGUCUCCAUACUCCAUCCGGUUUGAGACAACGUUCACGGUAGGAUUCCCUAUGUACUCGGUUCGUCCACUAUCUCUCAGGAUAUCCAGUAAGACUGCUUUUUAAUCUAAUCAUUUAAUCACACAAUUUUUUUAUUGUUUAAACUUCAUUUUUUCUGAUUCAGUAAUAAACACGUAAAAUAAACCAUGCAUACGUUCAAAGCCAUAAAAUGAAUAAAUAAGAUACCAUCAUGCAUGUAAACUAUAA